rnacentral:rRNA from 1 species
CCUACGGGUGGCUGCAGUGGGGGAUAUUGCACAAUGGAGGAAACUCUGAUGCAGCGACGCCGCGUGAGGGAAGACGGUCUUCGGAUGGUAAACCUCUGUCUUUGGGGAAGAAAAUGACGGUACCCAAAGAGGAAGCUCCGGCUAACUACGUGCCAGCAGCCGCGGGAAUACGGAGGGAGCGCGCGUUGUCCGGAAUUACUGGGUGAAAAGGGAGCUGAGGGGGGCGGGAACGUUGAAUGUUAAAUCUACCGGCUUAACUGGUAGCUGCGUUGCAAACUUCUUGUCUUGAGUGAAGUAGAGGCAGGCGGCAUUCCUCGUGUAGCGGUGAAAUGCGUAGAUAUUAG